rnacentral:rRNA from 1 species
GGGUUGUGAGGUUAAGCGACUAAGCGUACACGGUGGAUGCCCUGGCAGUCAGAGGCGAUGAAGGACGUGCUAAUCUGCGAUAAGCGUCGGUGAGGUGAUAUGAACCGUUAUAACCGGCGAUUUCCGAAUGGGGAAACCCAGUGUGAUUCGUCACACUAUCAUUAACUGAAUCCAUAGGUUAAUGAGGCGAACCGGGGGAACUGAAACAUCUAAGUACCCCGAGGAAAAGAAAUCAACCGAGAUUCCCCCAGUAGCGGCGAGCGAACGGGGAGGAGCCCAGAGCCUGAAUCAGUGUGUGUGUUAGUGGAAGCGUCUGGAAAGGCGUGCGAUACAGGGUGACAGCCCCGUACACAAAAAUGCACAUAUUGUGAGCUCGAUGAGUAGGGCGGGACACGUGGUAUCCUGUCUGAAUAUGGGGGGACCAUCCUCCAAGGCUAAAUACUCCUGACUGACCGAUAGUGAACCAGUACCGUGAGGGAAAGGCGAAAAGAACCCCGGCGAGGGGAGUGAAAAAGAACCUGAAACCGUGUACGUACAAGCAGUGGGAGCCUCUUAAUGGGGUGACUGCGUACCUUUUGUAUAAUGGGUCAGCGACUUAUAUUCUGUAGCAAGGUUAACCGAAUAGGGGAGCCGAAGGGAAACCGAGUCUUAACUGGGCGUUAAGUUGCAGGGUAUAGACCCGAAACCCGGUGAUCUAGCCAUGGGCAGGUUGAAGGUUGGGUAACACUAACUGGAGGACCGAACCGACUAAUGUUGAAAAAUUAGCGGAUGACUUGUGGCUGGGGGUGAAAGGCCAAUCAAACCGGGAGAUAGCUGGUUCUCCCCGAAAGCUAUUUAGGUAGCGCCUCGUGAAUUCAUCUCCGGGGGUAGAGCACUGUUUCGGCAAGGGGGUCAUCCCGACUUACCAACCCGAUGCAAACUGCGAAUACCGGAGAAUGUUAUCACGGGAGACACACGGCGGGUGCUAACGUCCGUCGUGAAGAGGGAAACAACCCAGACCGCCAGCUAAGGUCCCAAAGUCAUGGUUAAGUGGGAAACGAUGUGGGAAGGCCCAGACAGCCAGGAUGUUGGCUUAGAAGCAGCCAUCAUUUAAAGAAAGCGUAAUAGCUCACUGGUCGAGUCGGCCUGCGCGGAAGAUGUAACGGGGCUAAACCAUGCACCGAAGCUGCGGCAGCGACACUAUGUGUUGUUGGGUAGGGGAGCGUUCUGUAAGCCUGUGAAGGUGGCCUGUGAGGGUUGCUGGAGGUAUCAGAAGUGCGAAUGCUGACAUAAGUAACGAUAAAGCGGGUGAAAAGCCCGCUCGCCGGAAGACCAAGGGUUCCUGUCCAACGUUAAUCGGGGCAGGGUGAGUCGACCCCUAAGGCGAGGCCGAAAGGCGUAGUCGAUGGGAAACAGGUUAAUAUUCCUGUACUUGGUGUUACUGCGAAGGGGGGACGGAGAAGGCUAUGUUGGCCGGGCGACGGUUGUCCCGGUUUAAGCGUGUAGGCUGGUUUUCCAGGCAAAUCCGGAAAAUCAAGGCUGAGGCGUGAUGACGAGGCACUACGGUGCUGAAGCGACAAAUGCCCUGCUUCCAGGAAAAGCCUCUAAGCAUCAGGUAACAUCAAAUCGUACCCCAAACCGACACAGGUGGUCAGGUAGAGAAUACCAAGGCGCUUGAGAGAACUCGGGUGAAGGAACUAGGCAAAAUGGUGCCGUAACUUCGGGAGAAGGCACGCUGAUAUGUAGGUGAAGCGACUUGCUCGUGGAGCUGAAAUCAGUCGAAGAUACCAGCUGGCUGCAACUGUUUAUUAAAAACACAGCACUGUGCAAACACGAAAGUGGACGUAUACGGUGUGACGCCUGCCCGGUGCCGGAAGGUUAAUUGAUGGGGUUAGCGGUAACGCGAAGCUCUUGAUCGAAGCCCCGGUAAACGGCGGCCGUAACUAUAACGGUCCUAAGGUAGCGAAAUUCCUUGUCGGGUAAGUUCCGACCUGCACGAAUGGCGUAAUGAUGGCCAGGCUGUCUCCACCCGAGACUCAGUGAAAUUGAACUCGCUGUGAAGAUGCAGUGUACCCGCGGCAAGACGGAAAGACCCCGUGAACCUUUACUAUAGCUUGACACUGAACAUUGAGCCUUGAUGUGUAGGAUAGGUGGGAGGCUUUGAAGUGUGGACGCCAGUCUGCAUGGAGCCGACCUUGAAAUACCACCCUUUAAUGUUUGAUGUUCUAACGUGGGCCCCUUACCGGGGUUGCGGACAGUGUCUGGUGGGUAGUUUGACUGGGGCGGUCUCCUCCUAAAGAGUAACGGAGGAGCACGAAGGUUGGCUAAUCCUGGUCGGACAUCAGGAGGUUAGUGCAAUGGCAUAAGCCAGCUUGACUGCGAGCGUGACGGCGCGAGCAGGUGCGAAAGCAGGUCAUAGUGAUCCGGUGGUUCUGAAUGGAAGGGCCAUCGCUCAACGGAUAAAAGGUACUCCGGGGAUAACAGGCUGAUACCGCCCAAGAGUUCAUAUCGACGGCGGUGUUUGGCACCUCGAUGUCGGCUCAUCACAUCCUGGGGCUGAAGUAGGUCCCAAGGGUAUGGCUGUUCGCCAUUUAAAGUGGUACGCGAGCUGGGUUUAGAACGUCGUGAGACAGUUCGGUCCCUAUCUGCCGUGGGCGCUGGAGAACUGAGGGGGGCUGCUCCUAGUACGAGAGGACCGGAGUGGACGCAUCACUGGUGUUCGGGUUGUCAUGCCAAUGGCACUGCCCGGUAGCUAAAUGCGGAAGAGAUAAGUGCUGAAAGCAUCUAAGCACGAAACUUGCCCCGAGAUGAGUUCUCCCUGACUCCUUGAGAGUCCUGAAGGAACGUUGAAGACGACGACGUUGAUAGGCCGGGUGUGUAAGCGCAGCGAUGCGUUGAGCUAACCGGUACUAAUGAACCGUGAGGCUUAACCUUACAA